CGGUGCGGACGCGGGAAACCGGCCCAGCUCCACUCAGCAGCGGGUGGAGCAGAUUGUGGAGGCGUGGAAAUGCCAUGCCCUGCGGAGAGGGGAUGAGGCCCGGGGCGCCCCGUGUCGCCGCCGGAGAGGCACCCUGCCCCGGGAGCAUCAUCGCUUUCUGGACCUGUCCUUCAAAUGAUCCAACGCCGGGACUCGCAGAGAGCCCUGGACCCGCCCAUCUGAGCCUGCUCCAAACUACAGCUCCCGAAGUGCUCGGCGUUCAGAGUGGGCUUCCGUUCCCAGCGUGCCCAGUGAGCUGGCCGCCGGAAGAACCGUUGUCUGCCACGCGCAGCCCCUUGUGCGGGAUCAAGCCCGUGUGGGCGAGGUGGGGUCGGGUCGGCAGGGCUUGGGCUGGGCCUCCCUGAGGGGGUGAAACUCGAAAACGAGGAUUUCCUUCGCUCCACACCCUCACUCUACGCCCUGCCCCUGGGCAUCGUCGUCUACUAGUCAAUUCUGAUGACUCCC
rnacentral:sRNA from 1 species